AGAGUUUGAUCCUGGCUCAGGAUGAACGCUGGCAGCGUGGAUAAGGCAUGCAAGUCGAGAGGGUUUAGACCCUCGGCAAACGGGUUAGUAACACGUAGGGAAUGUACCCAGAAGUGGGGAAUAACCCGCCGAAAGGCGGGAUAAUACUCCAUGGCCCUCGCGGUCGAAAGACCUGCGAGGUAAAGAUUUAUCGCUUCUGGAACAUCCUGCGUCCUAUCAGCUAGUUGGUAAGGUAAUGGCUUACCAAGGCAACGACGGGUAGGGGGUGUGAGAGCGCGACCCCCAACAUUGGAACUGCGACACUGUCCAAACACCUACGGGUGGCUGCAGUCGAGAAUCUUCGGCAAUGGGCGAAAGCCUGACCGAGCGACGCUGCGUGCAGGAAGAAGGCCUUCGGGUUGUAAACUGCUGUCGUGUGGGAAGAACUUUGACGGUACCACACAAGAAAGGGGCGCCUAACUUCGUGCCAGCAGGCGCGGUAAUACGAAGGCCCCGAGCGUUAUCCGAAAUAAUUGGGCGUAAAGCGUCCGCAGGUGGGAAUGCGCGUCGGCUGUAAAAUCGCAGGGCUCAACCCUGCGCUCGCAGCUGAUACGGCAUUUCUUGAGGAGCGGAGAGGUAAGCGGAAUUCCCGGUGGAGCAGUGAAAUGCGUUGAUAUCGGGGAGAACACCAAUUGCGAAGGCAGCUUACUGGCCGCCUCCUGACACUCAGGGACGACAGCGUGGGGAGCGAAGCGGAUUAGAUACCCGCGUAGUCCACGCCGUAAACGAUGCUAACUAGGCAUUGGAGGUAUCGACCCCUUCAGUGUCGAAGCUAACGCGUUAAGUUAGCCGCCUGGGUAGUACGAGCGCAAGCUUAAAACUCAAAGGAAUAGACGGGAGCCUGCACAAGUGGUGGAGCGUGUGGUUUAAUUCGAUGCUAAGCGAGGAACCUUACCAGGACUAGAAAUCUAGCUGUGGUUAACAGAAAUGUUGACGUCUUCGAGAUCGCUAGACAGGUGCUGCAUGGUUGCCGUCAGCUCGUGCCGUGAGGUGUUUCCUUAAGUGGCGAAACGAGCGCAACCCUCGUCGCGUGUUACUUUUCACGCGAGACUGCCGUGGUUAACACGGAGGAAGGCGGGGAUGACGUCAAAUCAGCAUGGUCCUCUGACGUCCUGGGCGACACACGCGCUACAAUGGUUGGGACAGCGAGCACUAAGCAAACCCGUAAGGGGGAGCAAAUCUUUAAACCCAACCCUAAGUUCGGAUUGGAGUCUGCAACUCGACUCCAUGAAGUUGGAAUCACUAGUAACCGCGGAUCAGCCUCGCCGCGGUGAAUACGUUCUCAGGCUUUGUACUCACCGCCCGUCAACUCAGAAGAGCUGACAGUACCCGAAGCUCUCCCGCUUGGGAGGACCACGGUAAGGUCAGUGAUUAGGAGUAAGUCGUAACAAGGUAACC
rnacentral:rRNA from 1 species